AGCUUGAACCCCAGACCCACUGGAGAGCAGGACCCGGUCAAACCCACUGCACCACCACACCCUGUGUUUUGGGAUGAAUGUCCCUGCAAUAUUCCAUGACUUAUGAAAAACAUUAGGAGUACCGAGAGAGUAAUCGUUGGACAAAGCUUGGAGGAUUAUUAAGGAGUCCUCUCUCCAUCAGUCUCAAGUAAUAAAUUGCAGUAAGCAUUAUCAGGGUUGAUUGCAAUUAACUAUAGUGCAAUGCAAAUGUAAAUAUUAUAACACUGGAAAAACUUGAAGGACUGCAACAUGUUUGUGUAUAUAAUGAAACCCAUGGUGCACUUAAAAUGUAACGCCUCUAAACUAAAAUUGGGUAAUGCAGAAGCACUACUGCAGACAUGAAUAGGUGUCAUAGUGUCUGUAACUUUAUAGCAAGCCCAAAAUUGACAAAUUUGCACAUUCUGGAAACAAUGUGAAUGUACUGACUGUAGACAAAUAUAAGUUAUAAACUGUUCAGGAGCUUGUCUGCUCUCAGCAGUCAAAUAUAAUAAAAAAUUGAUACACGC